AAUUCUUGGGGUUCCCAAAAUGAUAAAAACAGACAACGGGCCUGGUUACACCGCUAAAAGCACACAAUUGUUUCUGCAACAAUGGGGUAUAGCUCAUGUCACAGGGCUACCCUAUAACCUGCAAGGACAAGGUAUAAUUGAAUGCAGCCAUGCGACCUUAAAAAAUAUGCUGUUAAGACAAAAAAGGGGGAAUAUGAGCCCACAGGAACAAUUAGACAAUGCAAUUUGUACCUUAAAUUUUUUAAAUGUGAAUUCUCAACAAUCUGUCACACCCAUGGAAAAGUAUUAUUCUGGUGAACAGGUGAAGUUUACAGAACGACCAAAAGUAUUAUAUCGAGAUCCAUUAGUAAGUAACUCAUGGCUUGGUCCUAUUGUACUAAUAACUCGGGGAAGAGGGUAUGCGUGUGUUCUUCUACCAGCAGGACCCAGGUGGCUGCCUGCUUGUCACGUAAACCCUAUUAUGAGCUGAUGAAACUACUGGGACAACCCAAUCCUGCAGAUGAAGACUCUGAAUUUGAAAGAGUAGAAACGAAUGAAGAGGAAGUGGCGCAUCGAGAAUGAAAAAGCUAUCACGUGGGGAGAUUUGAAGAGAAUGCAGCAACAAGCUAGCAUGAUGAUGCAAUGUGUAGGAGCAGUUCCUACUCCAGAGAACAUCUUUUUUAGCAUACCUGGCAAUAGUGGCCAGCAACAGUACUAUUGGGGACCCAGAAGACACCUUAUAAGUAGUUCAUCACAUCCAGUUAACUUCUCACAAGUAACGAAUGAAACCCUCAAAGGGUCCGAGGGAGGAUUGUCUGGGCCAGUAUUACAAGCUCAGUAUAAUAACAACACUGGACCCUUUUUUCAUGAAGUCAUGGAUGAUAGGUAUGCCAUUUAUAAAACGACAAAUAGCUCAUGGUGAUUAUCGAAAGAACAAUUCAUUGUAUACUUUGAACCUGACACAGAAUCACAAAGAUUCGGUGAUGAUAUGUACUUCACAUCCUUAUGUUUUUGUAGCAGCUCAAUCUGUAGAUAUUGCUUUACAUAACCAUGCUUUUGAAACUAAUCUGAGUCAACCUUGGUAUUUUAGCUGUUUUACUCAUAAGAAUAUAUCUGAACUAAAUCUUAUAGUAAUCAUGCCAAUGCGACGUCAUGCUGAAUUGUGGAUCCCUGUAAAUAUGACCAAAUCGUGGGAAGGGGAAUCAGGAUUAAGUCAAUUAUCAAGGCUUUUAAAGCAGACAAAUAGUCACCCAGAAUGAUUUAUAGGAUGGCUAACUGCCUUUAUAGUAUCAGCUAUUAUUAUUGCAACUACUGCCGCCGUUGCUACCACGGUGCUUGCGAAAUCUGUUCAGACUGCUCACACAGUAGCUAAUGUAUUAGAAAAUGUUACAGCUGAAAUAAAUACCCAGGUACAAAUUGAUCAACAAAUACUAGCAUGAUUGGACACUUUAGAAGCAGUGGUAAUUUGGCUUGGAGUGUAUUGGGUUUGUGUGGCAAGGUUUUGGUAGCGGGGGGUUACAGGGGUGGCUUCUGUGGGGGCUGCUGGUGGCUUCCCCUGUGUCCAAUGGAGUCAAUGCCGGCUGGCUCUAAGAUGGCCCCGCCGCUGGCCAAAGCCAAGCCCAUCAACAAUAGUGGUAGCGCCUCUGUG